rnacentral:rRNA from 1 species
GACGAACGCUGGCGGCGUGCCUAAUACAUGCAAGUAGAACGCUGAAGGAGGAGCUUGCUCUUCUGGAUGAGUUGCGAACGGGUGAGUAACGCGUAGGUAACCUGCCUGGUAGCGGGGGAUAACUAUUGGAAACGAUAGCUAAUACCGCAUAAGAGUAGAUGUUGCAUGACAUUUACUUAAAAGGUGCAAUUGCAUCACUACCAGAUGGACCUGCGUUGUAUUAGCUAGUUGGUGGGGUAACGGCUUAACAAGGCGACGAUACAUAGCCGACCUGAGAGGGGGGUCGGCCAAACUGGGACUGAGACACGGGCCAGACUCCUACGGGAAGCAGCAGUAGGGAAUCUUCGGCAAUGGACGGAAGUCUGAACGAGCAACGCCGCGUGAGUGAAGAAGGUUUUCGGAUCGUAAAGCUCUGUUGUAAGAGAAGAACGAGUGUGAGAGUGGAAAGUUCACACUGUGACGGUAUCUUACCAGAAAGGGACGGCUAACUACGUG